CAGUAGCCGCGGGAAUACGGAGGGUGCAAGCGUUAUCCGGAUUUAUUGGGUUUAAAGGGUCCGUAGGCGGACUUAUAAGUCAGUGGUGAAAGCCUGUCGCUUAACGAUAGAACUGCCAUUGAUACUGUAAGUCUUGAGUAUAUUUGAGGUAGCUGGAAUAAGUAGUGUAGCGGUGAAAUGCAUAGAUAUUACUUAGAACACCAAUUGCGAAGGCAGGUUACCAAGAUAUAACUGACGCUGAGGGACGAAAGCGUGGGUAGCGAACAGGAUUAGAGACCCCUGUAGUCCCUGUCUCUUAUAC
rnacentral:rRNA from 1 species